rnacentral:rRNA from 1 species
UACAGAGGGGGCAAGCGUUAUUCGGAAUUAUUGGGCGUAAAGGGCGCGUAGGCGGCUUUGCAAGUGACGGGUGAAAGCCCUCGGCUUAACCGAGGAACUGCCUGUCAGACUGUAAGGCUUGAGACCGGGAGAGGUGAGUGGAAUUCCCAGUGUAGCGGUGAAAUGCGUAGAUAUUGGGAGGAACACCAGUGGCGAAGGCGGCUCACUGGACCGGAACUGACGCUGAGGCGCGAAAGCGUGGGGAGCAAUCAGG